CCCGUCGUGGCGUAGAUGCAAGAGUGUGACUGUAACGCGACGGUUAUGGGUUCGAUCCCCACUCGAGGGAA
rnacentral:tRNA from 1 species